UAAUGUCUUCAAGUUUCCCACUAAGCAAAGCUAGAGAGAGAGAGAGAGAGAGAGAGAGAGUGGAAGUAGUUCUGUUUCGCUACAAGACUUUCGAAACGCUUCCUUCCUAGCUAUAUAUAACCUUCAAGUUUCCACCAUCCAUGCUAUAUUUAACUAGACAAGAGUGGUCUCUCUCUCUCUCUCUCUCUCUCUCUCUCUCUCUCAAGGGUGGUGCUGGCGUCUGCUUAGCUUUUGAUGUGUCUUGUGCAUGCGUGCAUAUGGCUACACAGAUUAAUUUGGCAAGCACAUCUAGCACACAAGCACAACAUGUACCAGCAGCUGAAAUCCAAUUAAUGGCUGGCGCUCCAACAACAGGACUAGGCAUUGUGUGAUCCAUAUAACCAAUUUGCCUCAACCUAAGACCCCUUCACUCCAUCUACUAGAGGAAAACAACGGUACGUAACAUCCAUCUCUCUCUCUCUCUCUCUCUCUCUCUCAUCAUUGGUAGUCCCUUCUUUUAUGAUAAAUAAGAUUUUUGUGUAUUGCAUGACAUUAUUGUUACAAAUUUGGCCAUACAUUUUCUAAAAUUACAAUAAUGCAACUAUGUCAUGUAUUUGUGGUUAAUAAAGUUAAAAGCCUUGGUCUA